GAUUUACUCCCUCCGUUCCAAAAUAGAUGACCCAACAUUGCACUAACUUUGUACAAAGUUAGUGCAAAGUUGGGUCAUCUAUUUUGGAACGGAGGGAGUACAAU
rnacentral:pre_miRNA from 1 species